GCGGGCGGCGGGCGGCGGGGCGGGCGCAGGAUGAGGGCAGCCAUUGCUGGGGCUCCGCUUCGGGGAGGAGGACGCUGAGGAGGCGCCGAGACGCGCAGCGCUGCGGGGGAGGCGCCCGCGCCAACGCAGGGCCCAUGGCCAGGACCACCAGCCAGCUGUUCUACAGUCUGGGGACGAUGGUUUAAGAAUUUAUGCCUUGUAUGCGAUGCGCAGUGGGUGAUGGAAGAACGUCUACAUAGCUUUAAAAUUUGAUUUAAAAGGCGAAUAUUUUAAAUGAAGGAAAACAAGAAAUGUAAUUGAUCCCUUAUCGGAUGCGGCCUUUUUUUUUUUUUUUUUUUAGAUUCUCACUCCCGGCGCGCAGAAUGGAGUGGAGUGCAGUGAUUCCAUCCUGGCUCACUGCAACCUUCACCUCCCGGCUUCAAGCGAUUCUUCUGCUGCUGCCUCCCUAGUAACUGGGAUUACAGGCGUGUGCCACCAUGCCCGACCAAUUUUUGUAUUUUUAAUAGAGAUGGUGAAAGGUGUGGGCCCUCUUCUGAGAAAAAUGCAGUGCAACACUGAAUUUUGUGACUACGUCAGGAGGCUCUUGAACCUUCUGCGGCUCACUUGUGGACUUUGUAGAGAUGCGUGAUAAUCCGAAGUGUUAAGGAAGAAUAUUCAGUUGAGAAAAAUGUCGAAAGGUUGAAAGGGAUGCCUGUCGCUAUUUUGACUUGUGUGGCUGCACCCCAGAGUGCCCGGGGUAACAUAAAAACAUGAAUUAGGCGGCUUUCUGAGGCUCAGCGGAGGCUGGGGCUGAGGGUCAUGUCGAAGUCUGUGAGGUUAACCUGCACCCAGUGACAGUCAUGGCGAAGUUUGAGAUUAACUCGCACCCAGUAACGCUGUUGCAAUGCAAGGUGUAUAUUUGGUGUCAUCCACGGGAAGAGGAAAGAGCAAAUUUUCUCACGGCCUUGGCAGUUCCACAUGAUGGACGUUUAGUAUCUACAGUUUUCUUCACGUAAGGCAGCUUUUUUGCACAAAAACAUUAGAAUCCAGUGAGCAAGAAUGAUAGCAUACAGGAUAGAUUUCCACAUGAGGAAGUGUCAGGAACGAGGCUUUUGCAUCUCUGUCAGCUGGAUUUCCACAUCUGUACAUGUGUGAGAACAUGCCGUGUUUCCUGUCCAUAAUGGUGGAGGCAGCCCUAAUAUUGUAUUUUCACCUGAGGACGGAUAGACCUUUAGGAUUCAGGUGGGUUUGCAUCUGGACUUUAGGGUGGCCCUGUAGGCCCUGUGUGAGAAGCCCCUUCCCAGUGAACUUUCCCAUGUGUGUACGCGUGGACAGCCAACAGAGGGAGCAGUGUGAGCGUGAAGGCAGACAGUGGCCUGGCCCAGUCUGAUGCUAAGUGGGCCAGAGGCAGUGAGUACCAUUUCUUGAGCUGACUACUUAAGACAGGCGCUUCCCUAGGUACUUUCACACCUCAUUGCAAGGUAGGCGUUGUUCCCAUUUUGCAGGUGCAGAAGCUGAGCUGCAGAGACGUUAAGUACCUGCCUCGCAAGUGGUAGAAACUCCAGUGUCACCCUGCCCCUCACGUUCCGAGCCCUCGAGGGAGGGUCUGCCGGGCAGCUCAGCCCAGCACUCUGUGUAAGGAAGUCUUCAGUGCCACUGUCCAGGAUGUCUUCCUGGGGGUUGGGCCUGAACGUCGUGACCAUGCCGUGCUGGAGGCAGGAGGGGUGUCUUCAUGUGGACGAACUGUACAUAUUUCUUUGGCAGAUGGCUGAGCUCUGUGACCCCGGGGCCUGUUUCAGCCUCCUGCUGUCAGAAAGCAGCUGUUUGGAAAGAGGCUGUGAUUCGGCCUUGUUUGAGGGCCGGUACUCUGAAUGUGUGAGGCUUGGAAUCCUCCCUUUGGCAACAAAGAAACAUGUAAUGAUUCUGCUGAAGGUAGAAUUGGGGGACUAGGCAGAGUGGGCUCCUGCCCUCCCUAGGGUGGUUCUGUCUUUUGCAAAGGUGGCUGCAUCCUUAGGGGAAGGUGAGGGGAGAAGCAGAGAGCAUGGAGAGCAGUGGCUUUCGAUUUUCUCCCUCCUUUUGGGGAGUUCCUCCUUAUGUGGCUGGUCUGGUGCAUAGUGUGAUGUAUUCCUGUCCCCAGCGAUGCCCCGACAGCCAUUCCAAGCUGAGUCCAGAGUUGGCAAGGUGAGGUCCCAGUAGUAAGAGGGAAGUGGUUUGUUCGGCUCUUCUGAGAUGUGUUUUAUGAGAAAGAUCCAGCAGCAGCCUGCAGAGAUGUGGGGCCUGAAAAGAGGCCUUGGGCAGGUCUUCUCAGCAGGUCUUGGCUCUCUAGACUGUGUUCAGCACAGUUUUCGGGAGGAACA